AAGAAAUUCAGAUAACCAAAAGCUGUUACCUUUGGAAUCCCUCUCCCUUGUCUUGUUAAACCCAAUUCUGAGGUAGACUUUUAUAUUGGUCUUAAUACAAAAAUGGGAGCUUCCAAAUCAGUUCCACAGAAAUCAAUCUAUGAAUUUACUGUAAAGGACAGCAAAGGGAAAAAUGUAGACCUAAGCAUCUAUAAGGGAAAAGUGCUUCUUGUUGUUAAUGUUGCCUCUAAAUGUGGGUUCACAAGCACAAAUUAUACCCAAUUGACUCAACUCUACAACGAAUACAAGGAUAAAGAUUUUGAAGUCUUGGCCUUCCCCUGCAACCAAUUUUUGAAGCAAGAACCUGGUACAAGUGAGCAAGCUCAAGAAUUUGCUUGCACAAGAUUUAGCGCAGAAUAUCCCAUUUUCCAAAAGGUGCGAGUUAAUGGUCCAAAUGAGGCACCAGUCUACACAUUCCUUAAAGCAAGCAAAGGUGGUUUUCUCAGUAGAAGUAUCAAAUGGAAUUUCACCAAGUUUUUGGUUGAUAAGGAAGGGAAAGUUAUCCGGCGCUAUGGCUCAACCACUCCACCUUUAUCAAUCAAGGGAGAUAUCGAGAAGGCAUUGGGGGAGAAUUGAGAAGAUUGUAUCUUAGUAAAGAGGACAGUAGAAGAAGCUUUAUGACAAAAUUGUAUUUGCUAAUAGCUGGUGUGCUCUUUAAGUUUAAAUUCGUUCCUCUUUGUGACUUUGUUUGUAUGUGCUAAUAUUAUAUUGUAUAUUCUGUAUUUUAGCGGUGUCAAAAAUAAAU
rnacentral:misc_RNA from 1 species